CCUACGGGUGGCUGCAGUCGAGAAUCUUCGGCAAUGGACGAAAGUCUGACCGAGCGACGCCGCGUGCGGGAUGAAGGUCUUCGGAUUGUAAACCGCUGUCAGAGGGGAUGCAGAGCCUCAGAGGAAGCACGGGCUAAGUUCGUGCCAGCAGCCGCGGUAAUACGAACUGUGCGAACGUUAUUCGGAAUCACUGGGCUUAAAGGGUGCGUAGGCGGUUAUCUAAGUCACGUGUGAAAUCUUCCGGCUCAACCGGAAAACUGCGCGUGAUACUGGAUGACUUGAGUGAGGUAGGGGUGUGUGGAACUUCCGGUGGAGCGGUGAAAUGUGUAGAGAUCGGAAGGAACGCCAGCAGCGAAAGCGGCACACUGGGCUUUCUGACGCUGAGGCACGAAAGCUAGGGGAGUGAACGGGAUUAGAUACCCUUGUAGUC
rnacentral:rRNA from 1 species